rnacentral:rRNA from 1 species
AGCGAACGCUGGCGGCAGGCUUAACACAUGCAAGUCGAGCGGGCAUCUUCGGAUGUCAGCGGCAGACGGGUGAGUAACACGUGGGAACGUACCCUUCGGUUCGGAACAACUCUGGGAAACUGGAGCUAAUACCGGAUACGCCCUUAUGGGGAAAGGUUUACUGCCGAAGGAUCGGCCCGCGUCUGAUUAGCUAGUUGGUGGGGUAACGGCCUACCAAGGCGACGAUCAGUAGCUGGUCUGAGAGGAUGAUCAGCCACACUGGGACUGAGACACGGACCAGACUCCUACGGGAAGCAGCAGUGGGGAAUAUUGGAAAAUGGGGGCAAGCCUGAUCCAGCCAUGCCGGGUGAGUGAUGAAGGCCUUAGGGUUGUAAAGCUCUUUUGUCCGGGACGAUAAUGACGGUACCGGAAGAAUAAGCCCCGGCUAACUUCGUG